rnacentral:rRNA from 1 species
ACGGGGCGCAGCAGGCGCGAAAACUUCACAAUGCGCGAAAGCGCGAUGAGGGAAUCCCAAGUGCUUGCACGUAAGUGUAAGCUGUUUCUAUGUCUAAAACGCAUAGAGAGUAAGAGCUGGGUAAGACGGGUGCCAGCCGCCGCGGUAAUACCUGCAGCUCUAGUGGUGGCCGCUAUUAUUGGGCCUAAAACGUCCGUAGCCGGCUUAUUAAAUGCCUGGGUAAAUCGUACGGCUUAACCGUACGAAUUCCGGGUAGACUGAUAGGCUUGGGACCGGGAGAAGCUAGAGGUACUCUUGGGGUAGAGGUGAAAUUCUGUAAUCCUAGGGGGACCACCAGUGGCGAAGGCGUCUAGCUAGAACGGGUUUGACGGUGAGGGACGAAGCCCUGGGGAGCAAACGGGAUUAGAUACCCCGGUAGUCCAGGGUGUAAACGCUGCUUGCUUGAUGUUAGUUGGGCUCCGUGCCCGAUUAGUGUCGGAGAGAAGUUGUUAAGCAAGCUGCCUGGGAAGUACGGCCGCGAGACUGAAACUUAAAGGAAUUGGCGGGGGAGCA